rnacentral:rRNA from 1 species
UACGUAGGGGGCUAGCGUUGUCCGGAUUUAUUGGGCGUAAAGAGCGUGUAGGCGGCCAGGUAGGUCCGCUGUGAAAGUCCGAGGCUCAACCUCGGAAUGUCGGCGGAAACCCUCUGGCUAGAGUCCGGAAGAGGAGAGUGGAAUUCCCGGUGUAGCGGUGAAAUGCGCAGAUAUCGGGAAGAACACCCGUGGCGAAGGCGGCUCUCUGGAACGGUACUGACGCUGAGACGCGAAAAGCGUGGGGGAGCGAAACAGG